GUCAUCCUUAUCCCUAACCUCCUGACCCCAACCAUCCCACACAUCACGCCAUGGAUUGCGCCGCCGCCCUGCUCAACAGCCAACGCCGUCGCCGCCUGCCCCAUCCGUCGUCGCUCCCGCCGCAUCAACCCUCUGCCGCAUCCCACUGCCAUCAUGACCCAUCUCUCUCCUUGGUCUUCUGUCUUUGACCAAUACUGGGUGGCGGCUGUGCUUCCGGUCGCGUGGUGGCGAUGUGGCUGGUCGAGGGAACAUAGUGUUCCUGUUGUGCCCCUUCACACAUUGGACCAUCGUGGCGCAGAAGUACAUGGAGAAGAUCGCGCUCCUCUUAGCAAAUUCGGGUGUUUUGAGUUGGCUACCCAGCAAGGGGCAUGGUCACAUGGAUGAUUAGCAUCUUUUGGCAAAAGCAUGUUAAUUCACUGAAGAAAUACUACUGCACCUAUGACUAUGAGCGGAGAUGUCCACUCACGAUUUUUGAGGACCACUUGAGGAUGUGAUCAGUAGUGCAGCUUCAAAGCUGCUUGAUAUGACAUAGUGUUUGAUUUUUACAAAUCUGAAAGUCAAGCCUAAGCAAUGUUACGGUUCAGAUCUAAACCUUAAACUUACUGAUUAUUUGUUGUGCGUUACUAAUCUGACCGGCCAUCGAUCUCCACCUUAACCUUAUUUAUCUUUCUUAUUAGCUCCACGUCUCUAGCGUCUAUAGAGUCCUAACCCAAGAAUAUCUCCUGCCGCCUUCAGUCCAAACCCUCGGCAAGAGUCUCCCCUGCAUCCUCCUCUUCUCCUUGCCGCCUAUGUCUCCUUCUUUUGCUCCUCGGGUCGCUAUUGUGACGCGUCCGUCGUCUUUUUCAUGAGGAGCUAGAUGAUUUCAGUCUGAGAUUACAUCCUCCUAUAGAGAAUCCUACCCUUUCCAUGCUGUCACUGUAGCCAGGUCUAGCAAAGGGGAUAAAUUUAUGUUGCAAAUGAGAUGCUAAAGUUUAUAUGCAGAGGUGUGCAACUCUGUAUCCAUCAACAUCCAUACUUCAGGGUGGAGUAGAGGGAGGGAGCAUUUACCAGAGAUGUGUUUUUAGCAGCAUUAUUUUUAGAUAAAAUAAUUAUACCUGCUUUUAUCUGUAAGCUGCACACAGGGCAGAGGAUGCAAUUUGGUUUAGAAGAAGAAGAAAACACAUUGACACUAUGGCUUAUAAUUCUUAUGAUAGUAUCAGAAAAUAUAUGCAAUAUGGUUUAGGUAACAAAAACACAGCAUUAUGUCUUCGUUGGAAAAUUUGCCACUCCGGAGACAUAGACAGACUUAUCACUUUCAUCUUAUUAAUGGUAUUUUCUUAAAGUAAGAAGAUAAAGAAGAGAUGGGUUUAUAUGAAGCGGGCCUGCUGCAACAGUCAAAAGAUGAUGUCUCGGUAUUUCACAUUUAAAGCAAGGACAAGUGCUCAUAAAUGAUUAUAUGUAUCUACUUUAUUAAACUAGCAUAUGAACUAAUCCCCCGAAUCCAUGUACUCUAUAUUCUUACUUAUUGCAUGACGUUCUUUUGCUUCUUGAUAAAUAUGUCCAUUUUCAUUAUUAUUUCAUAAUAUCUGCUAUGUACAGUGGCAUCAUUGAGCAUUCCUUUACUUUUCACAUUUCAGUUCAAUGUUCUGCACAGUGCACAGUAUAACGCUACAUUGGAUGGCGCUAUUAAAUACUUCGAGGUCAUGUGACAGAGCACGAAAAAAGAACUAUCGAGAUCUAACCAUGAUGAAGGCAGGCCCCUCCGAUUGCUAUUAGGAAUGUGGAAGGUUGACCAGCCGUCUCUUCCUCUCCAUCGUCUCUCCAUGGUGUGCAUGUUAAGAACUUAUGCAGCAGCGGACGCCAAUUUCAUGGAGCCGUCAGCAUCAACUUUUGUGGAGUCCUCUUCUAGGAUCUGAUACGAGUCCCUCCGACAUCAGAUAAGGUUUGGGUAUGCAUGAGAACGAAUCGGAUAAUCAAUUGCAAACUGAUUGUAUCGUAUGUUGUGUACUAUCGACGCAUUUGCUUGGGUGGAAAAGUCUCGCUUCUGAUUACAGCACUUUCAGAAGACAGUAGAAGUCGUUUAGUUCAGCCCUUCUGAUUUGUGUUACGGUGCUAUCGGAUAAAGCGCUUCACUUCGCUUCCG